rnacentral:rRNA from 1 species
GACGAACGCUGGCGGCGUGCCUAAUACAUGCAAGUCGAACGCAUUUUCUUUCACCGUAGCUUGCUACACCGAAAGAAAAUGAGUGGCGAACGGGUGAGUAACACGUGGGUAACCUGCCCAUCAGCGGGGGAUAACACUUGGAAACAGGUGCUAAUACCGCAUAAUUCCAUUUACCGCAUGGUAAAUGGAUGAAAGGCGCUUUUGCGUCACUGAUGGAUGGACCCGCGGUGCAUUAGCUAGUUGGUGGGGUAACGGCCUACCAAGGCUGCGAUGCAUAGCCGACCGGGGAGGGUGAUCGGCCACACUGGGACUGAGACACGGCCCAGACUCCUACGGGAGGCAGCAGUAGGGAAUCUUCGGCAAUGGACGCAAGUCUGACCGAGCAACGCCGCGUGAGUGAAGAAGGUUUUCGGAUCGUAAAACUCUGUUGUUAGAGAAGAACAAGGAUGAGAGUGGAAAGUUCAUCCCUUGACGGUAUCUAACCAGAAAGCCACGGCUAACUACGUG